rnacentral:rRNA from 1 species
UACGUAGGGGGCAAGCGUUGUCCGGAUUUAUUGGGCGUAAAGAGCGUGUAGGCGGCUUUACAGGUCCGUUGUGAAAACUCGAGGCUCAACCUCGAGACGCCGGUGGAAACCAUCAGGCUAGAGUCCGGAAGAGGAGAGUGGAAUUCCUGGUGUAGCGGUGAAAUGCGCAGAUAUCGGGAGGAACACCUGAGGCGAAGGCGGGCUACUGGGCCGAUACUGACGCUGAUGCGCGAAAGCCAGGGGAGCGAACGGG